rnacentral:rRNA from 1 species
AGAGUUUGAUCCUGGCUCAGGAUGAACGCUGGCGGCGCGCCUAACACAUGCAAGUCGAACGGCACCCAUCUUCGGAUGGAAGCGAGUGGCGAACGGCUGAGUAACACGUGGAGAACCUGCCCCCUCCCCCGGGAUAGCCGCCCGAAAGGACGGGUAAUACCGGAUACCCCGGGGUGCCGCAUGGCACCCCGGCUAAAGCCCCGACGGGAGGGGAUGGCUCCGCGGCCCAUCAGGUAGACGGCGGGGUGACGGCCCACCGUGCCGACAACGGGUAGCCGGGUUGAGAGACCGACCGGCCAGAUUGGGACUGAGACACGGCCCAGACUCCUACGGGAGGCAGCAGUGGGGAAUCUUGCGCAAUGGGGGGAACCCUGACGCAGCGACGCCGCGUGCGGGACGGAGGCCUUCGGGUCGUAAACCGCUUUCAGCAGGGAAGAGUCAAGACUGUACCUGCAGAAGAAGCCCCGGCUAACUACGUGCCAGCAGCCGCGGUAAUACGUAGGGGGCGAGCGUUAUCCGGAUUCAUUGGGCGUAAAGCGCGCGUAGGCGGCCCGGCAGGCCGGGGGUCGAAGCGGGGGGCUCAACCCCCCGAAGCCCCCGGAACCUCCGCGGCUUGGGUCCGGUAGGGGAGGGUGGAACACCCGGUGUAGCGGUGGAAUGCGCAGAUAUCGGGUGGAACACCGGUGGCGAAGGCGGCCCUCUGGGCCGAGACCGACGCUGAGGCGCGAAAGCUGGGGGAGCGAACAGGAUUAGAUACCCUGGUAGUCCCAGCCGUAAACGAUGGACGCUAGGUGUGGGGGGACGAUCCCCCCGUGCCGCAGCCAACGCAUUAAGCGUCCCGCCUGGGGAGUACGGCCGCAAGGCUAAAACUCAAAGGAAUUGACGG